AAAUUUUCUCACCCUCUGUCCUUCAUAAGUCAAAAUGGCUGGUGCAAAACAGGUCAACUCAGUGAAUCUUUGAGCAUAUUCAACCAUUGACAGGUUCCCCUGAGUGAGUUGCAUGAACUUUAACUCCUUCUUAUGCUAGAGUCGUGCUGGAAAGUAUUUGGCGUUGAACACCCCCAGAAAUGUCUCUCAAGUGAUGGGAAUAGGUAAAGUAGUUUAUCUGAAUU
rnacentral:lncRNA from 1 species